rnacentral:lncRNA from 1 species
AUUUGUGUGUUUCAGAGCAAAUGGACCAGACACAACACCUGGCCGACAGCUUCCAGGACAACAAGCUUCACCGGGCCGUGGCUUCCCCCGCAGACAGCCCUGAGUCCCUCCAGCAACAGAACACCUCCCUAGAGGGGGUUGCUCUACAAAAUCAGAAAGCUCUGCACUUCACUGAUUGCAGAGGGACUUGCAUUUGGCUGGGGGAUAAAUGAUGUUUCUAUGCCAAUGAACCUGGGCUGGUGGAAUAAAACAUACAAAUGCUCAGAGAUCUCCAGUGAGAUCUCAGGGCUCCAGGGCAAGGUCUGCGACUAACAUCCCUACCUCAUGGUACUAAAACCCUCUGGUGCAUUGGUAUCUCCCUCCUUGGCCCAU